UACGUAGGGUGCAAGCGUUGUCCGGAAUUAUUGGGCGUAAAGAGCGUGUAGGCGGCCAGAUAGGUCCGUUGUGAAAACUCGAGGCUCAACCUCGAGACGCCGAUGGAAACCAUCUGGCUAGAGUCCGGAAGAGGAGAGUGGAAUUCCUGGUGUAGCGGUGAAAUGCGCAGAUAUCAGGAAGAACACCCGUGGCGAAGGCGGCUCUCUGGGACGGUACUGACGCUGAGACGCGAAAGCGUGGGGAGCGAACAGG
rnacentral:rRNA from 1 species